UCAGAUGCACUAUUGGUUUAACAAACUUUAAAGCUGCAUGAAAAUGUCACCUUUUAGUCAGUAAAAGUAGGGAAUUCCUAAAUACUCAUUUUGAAAGUUGUUACUAAAUCUCACCUUUGUGGCAGUUGUCCAAGAUUGUUUUCGAGCGUGAAAUAAACCUCAUGUUUCACUUUUACAAGAGAAAAGACUUCAAGGAUGAAGACAAACUAGUUGGUUUGGCAAAUAAACGUCUGGUUAACUUCACCAGAUCCAUUGAAGAGCAGUGUACAGCUACUUCCCUGAGCUUUUCUAUGGGACUGUUUCCUACUGCAGUGAUGAGACGGUCCUCAAUGGGACUAGGUUGGACAUUACUUUGUCUUGGGGUAGUUAGUGAAUGUACGGUAACAAGCUCAUCAUUAGGAUCCUAUCAUAACAUGUUCCUUAUUCUGUCAUAAGAUAAUGAUCAAAAGUCACUUUGACUCAGUGUGAUAAUUAGACAGUCCCAAACAGGGCUAUGUCCAACUUUAAUGUCUUGUGUUUGUUAGUAAAGAGUAGAAAAGAGUAAGUAAAGAACUUUAAGACUUUAUAUCCAUCCCUAACUGUAU